GACGAACGCUGGCGGCGUGCUUAACACAUGCAAGUCGAACGGAAAGGCCCUGCUUUUGUGGGGUGCUCGAGUGGCGAACGGGUGAGUAACACGUGAGUAACCUGCCCUUGACUUUGGGAUAACUUCAGGAAACUGGGGCUAAUACCUGAUAGGAGCUCCUGCUGCGUGGUGGGGGUUGGAAAGUUUCGGCGGUUGGGGAUGGACUCGCGGCUUAUCAGCUUGUUGGUGGGGUAGUGGCUUACCAAGGCUUUGACGGGUAGCCGGCCUGAGAGGGUGACCGGCCACAUUGGGACUGAGAUACGGCCCAGACUCCUACGGGAGGCAGCAGUGGGGAAUAUUGCACAAUGGGCGGAAGCCUGAUGCAGCAACGCCGCGUGCGGGAUGAAGGCCUUCGGGUUGUAAACCGCUUUCGCCUGGGACGAAGCGUGAGUGACGGUAAUGGGUAAAGAAGCACCGGCUAACUACGUG
rnacentral:rRNA from 1 species